UACGGAGGGUGCGAGCGUUGUCCGGAAUCACUGGGCGUAAAGGGCGCGUAGGCGGUGCGAGAAGCGUGCGGUGAAAGUCCGGGGCUCAACCCCGGAUCUGCCGUGCGGACUGGUUUGCUAGAGCACUGUAGAGGCGAGUGGAAUUCCGGGUGUAGCGGUGGAAUGCGUAGAGAUCCGGAAGAACACCGGUGGCGAAGGCGGCUCGCUGGGCAGUGGCUGACGCUGAGGCGCGACAGCGUGGGGAGCAAACAGG
rnacentral:rRNA from 1 species